AUUCCAGCUCCAAUAGCGUAUAUUUAAGUUGUUGCAGUUAAAAAGCUCGUAGUUGGAUUUUGGUUAAGAGGGCGCGGUCGGCCGUUUGGUCUGUACUGCGUUGUCUUGACUUCCUGAUGAGGACAUGCUCUUGGUUAACGCUGAGACAUGGAGUCAUCGUGGUUACUUUGAAAAAAUUAGAGUGUUCAAAGCGGGCUUACGCUUGAAUAUAUUAGCAUGGAAUAACACUAUAGGACUCCUGUCCUAUCUCGUUGGUCUCGGGAUGGGAGUAAUGAUUAAGAGGAACAAUUGGGGGCAUUCGUAUUUAACUGUCAGAGGUGAAAUUCUUGGAUUUGUUAAAGACGGACUACUGCGAAGGCAUCUGCCAUGGAUGUUUUCAUCA
rnacentral:rRNA from 1 species